CAGCAAGUAGUUCACAGACAAAAUAAUGUUGGCAGAUACAGGACAUUAGGCCCAACUCCAAUGAGCUUACUAUCUAGGAGGAAGUGGGAUCAGUGAAGACGAAUGGAAGAUCAAUGUGUUGUUGGGGUGAGAUGUUGAUGUUAAAGGACCACUCUAGGCACCCAGACCACUUCAGCUUAAUGAAGUGGUCUGAGUGCCUGGUCCAGCUAGGGUUAACCCAUU